CGGCCCACUAUGCCUCGUGCCGGGCCGGCCCGUGACGGGCCAGGCACGCGGGCUAACGUGCCGGCCCGUAAAAACCGGCCCGUUUGGCCAGGUAUAGCCGCAGCCACCGCCUGCCUUCACGGCCUCCCCGAUCUAUAAAAACCCCCCACCAUCACCGUGACUACCCCUUUCACCCUAACCCUACCACACCGCCGCCGCCGCCGCCUCCUCCCCCUCCACUCCUCCCGAUUCCGAUCUGCGUCAAGCGUGAGGCGAGAUGUCUGCGGCGAUCCGCUCGGUCUCACGCCGGCUGGCCACAGCCGGAGCCGUCCACGGUGCGCAGGGUGGUACCCCUGCUGUCGCCGCCCCAGUUCAUCGCCCGGUGAUAACCCUCCCUGCCCGUGGCUAUUCUGCUUCGUCUGCAGGGUAAAAACUCGCCCUUCCUUGAUUUCCUGCGUUUCCAUAUCUAUGCAUAUAGUUUAGUUAGAUUCACCAUGUCACGUGAUAUAGUGCCAUAUGCACUGAUCCGGUCCUCUUCCAGUCCUUGACGCGAUUACAAGUAUGUGGUACCUCGUUGUUACUAGUCGUGAUUCUUUACUCUUUAUUUAAGAUUACUUCAAUUGCUAAGGAGACUGGCCAGAGGCUGUACAAAGCUGUUCUUCGGUCCACCCCGUUCAUGGCAUCAGUCACCACCUAUGCAACUGUGGUUUCGGCAGUUGGAUACUGGGUCACUGAGACUGUUGAGGGUGGAGUGAAUAAGAAGCUUGUUGAGCAGAAUAACACUCUCGCCGUGAAGCUUGAAGCGAGAAGGUGAAGCGUGAGGGCUUUCAGAGCAUAGCUACCCAUGCCCAUCAGGAGAGUGCCCGCAGGAUUGAUGAAUGAAUGUUUGAUGUACGUCUUCAGCUCAACAAACUGUUCCUCCGCUGGUUGGAGUUGACAUGAGGUCAACUUGAAAAGAAUGAACGACAUGGAGCAAAGGAUUGAUGCAUUGACAAGGGAGGUUGAUGCAUUGAAGAAGUCUCCUUCUGCAAAGGAUGAUGAUACGCCAAUCAAGACGAGCUGAGACCAGACCUGACCGCGCCUGUGGGGGUAAGCACCCUAAGGCGACCUCUUCGCUUGUUGGGGUGAGAACCCGAAGGCGACCUCUCUUCCCUUUGGGGUGAGCACCCAAAGGCAACCUCUGCGAUCUCUCCGUCUGUUGGGGUGAGCACCCGAAGGCGACCUCUGCGAUCUCUCCGUCUGUUGGGGUGAGCACCCGAAGGCGACCUCUGCGAUCUCUCCGUCUGUUGGGGUGAGCACCUGAAGGCGACCUCUGCGAUCUCUUCGUCUGUUGGUGUGAGCACCCGAAGGCGACCUCUGCGAUCUCUCCGUCUGUUGGGGUGAGCACCCAAAGGCGACCUCUGCGAUCUCUCCGUCUGUUGGGGUGAGCACCCGAAGGCGACCUCUGCGAUCUCUCCGUCUGUUGAGGUGAGCACCCGAAGGCGACCUCUGCGAUCUCUCCGUCUGUUGGGGUGAGCACCCGAAGGCGACCUCUCCUUAAGAUACCCAAGCCUCAAUGACUUUACUUCAUGCUUGUGGGAGUGAUACUAAAUCCUCAUUACCAUCUUCAGACCUGUGUUAUGUUAAAGUUUAAGUCUAAAGACCUUGCAUCAUAUCUAUUCAUGAUUUUAGCCAUCAUGUUCUUGUAAGGAUUAUUGCUACCUGCUAUGGUAUUUGUUACUUAGUAGUAACUGAUGUUUCUGCAUAUUGGUUUCGUUUC